CCACCCAUGCACCCGUUUUCCUUUUUUAAAAAUCCUUAAGGGAGGAAAAGAAACUAACAAGGAUUCCCCUAGUAACGGCGAGUGAAGCGGGAUGAGCUCAAAUUUAAAAUCUGACUGGUUUACUAGUCCGAAUUGUAGUUUAAAGAAGCGUUUUCGGUGGCAGUCUCGGUAUAAAUCCUUUGGAAUAGGGUAUCAUAGAGGGUGAGAAUCCCGUCUUUGACUGAGAAUUUGCUACUAUGUGAUACGUUUUCAAAGAGUCGAGUUGUUUGGGAAUGCAGCUCAAAAUGGGUGGUAAAUUUCAUCUAAAGCUAAAUAUUGGCGAGAGACCGAUAGCGAACAAGUACCGUGAGGGAAAGAUGAAAAGAACUUUGAAAAGAGAGUUAAACAGUGCGUGAAAUUGUUGAAAGGGAAACGCUUGAAACCAGUCAUGUAGUUGGAAAAUCAGUGUUCAAUUGGAGGGAAUGGGAGAGUUGUGGACCGCAAGGCUGCUCUUUUCUAUAUCUUUUUUGUUGGGCAUGCACUUUUUCUUCCGCAGGUCAACAUCAGUUUCUUUUGCUGGACAAAACUCUUGAGAAGGUAGCAGCUUAGGCUGUGUUAUAGCUCUGGAGCGAUACAGUGAAGGAGACUGAGGUUUUCGCAGCAUGUGCUCUCGGGCAAGGCCGGUUGGGUGCUAUGGGAUCGUUCGGGGUACAAUACAUGUAUUUUGCUUCGUGUCUUUUCUAUACUCGCUUGAUUGUGCUCUCCAUGCUAGCUACGAUGACUAAUCCCAAAAACUGGG
rnacentral:rRNA from 1 species